AUUUGUAGAGGAUGCUUUUGGUGAGGUGCUUUCUGAGUUCCCUGGAACGGGACGCCAAAGAGGGUGAGAGCCCCGUACAGUUAGAUACUAAACCUUUGUAUAGCUCCUUCGACGAGUCGAGUAGUUUGGGAAUGCUGCUCUAAAUGGGAGGUAUAUCUCUUCUAAAGCUAAAUAUAGGCUAGAGACCGAUAGCGCACAAGUAGAGUGAUCGAAAGAUGAAAAGCACUUUGAAAAGAGAGUUAAACAGCACGUGAAAUUGUUGAAAGGGAAGCGCUUAUGACCAGACUUGUCUCUAUCAGUUUUGGUAGUUUUCGGACUGCUUUACUUCUGUUAGUACAGGCCAACAUCAGUUUGUUGUCGGGGAGAAAGGCUCAGGGAAUGUGACUCCUUCGGGAGUGUUAUAGCCCUUUGCAUAAUACCCUUCAGCAGACUGAGG
rnacentral:rRNA from 1 species